UACGAAGGGGGCAAGCGUUGUCCGGAUUUAUUGGGCGUAAAGAGCGUGUAGGCGGCCAAGUGGGUCUGCUGUGAAAACUCGAGGCUUAACCUCGAGCUGUCGGCGGAAACCAUCUGGCUAGAGUCCGGAAGAGGAGAAUGGAAUUCCCGGUGUAGCGGUGAAAUGCGCAGAUAUCGGGAAGAACACCCGUGGCGAAGGCGGUGCUCUGGGACGGUACUGACGCUGAGACGCGAAAGCGUGGGGAGCGAACAGG
rnacentral:rRNA from 1 species